GACGAACCGUGCGAACGUUGUUCGGAAUCACUGGGCUUAAAGGGCGCGUAGGCGGUUGGGUAAGUCGGGUGUGAAAACUCAGGCUCAACUCUGAGACGCCACUCGAUACUGCCCUGACUCGAGUCCGGUAGGGGAGCGUGGAAUUCCCGGUGUAGCGGUGAAAUGCGCAGAUAUCGGGAGACACCAGUGGCGAAGGCGGCGCUCUGGGCCGGGAACUGACGCUGGAGGAGCGAAAGCGUGGGUAGCAAACAGG
rnacentral:rRNA from 1 species